rnacentral:rRNA from 1 species
UACGUAGGGUGCAAGCGUUGUCCGGAAUUACUGGGCGUAAAGCGCGCGUAGGCGGCUUUGCAAGUCGGGUGUGAAAUCCCCAGGCUUAACCUGGGAACUGCAUUCGAGACUGCAUUGCUAGAGUAUGGGAGAGGGAAGUGGAAUUUCCGGUGUAGCGGUGAAAUGCGUAGAUAUCGGAAGGAACAUCAGUGGCGAAAGCGACUUCCUGGACCAAUACUGACGCUCAUGUGCGAAAGCGUGGGGAGCAAGCAGG